CUGCUACAUAUUUCAGCAGCAAACAUACUAAAAUUGGAAUAAUACAUAGAAGAUUAACAGAGGCAGCCUAAGAUGAUGCACACAUUUACAGAGUAUUUUCUAUUUUCU
rnacentral:snRNA from 1 species